rnacentral:rRNA from 1 species
GUCGACGGAAGUCGUUAUGAUGAUUUCAACACUGACAGAGAACUUGUUCAAAGAAAGUAGAGAUUGACUUAUAACAAUGGCUUUAGCGGCGGACUGGUGAGUAACACGUGAGCAACCUGCCUAUCAGAGGGGAAUAACAGUGAGAAAUCAUUGCUAAUACCGCAUAUGCCAUAAAUAUCACAUGAUGAAAGUGGGAAAGGAGUAAUCCGCUGAUAGAUGGGCUCGCGUCUGAUUAGAUAGUUGGUGGGGUAACGGCCUACCAAGUCGACGAUCAGUAGCCGGACUGAGAGGUUGAACGGCCACAUUGGGACUGAGAUACGGCCCAGACUCCUACGGGAGGCAGCAGUCGGGAAUAUUGCGCAAUGGAGGAAACUCUGACGCAGUGACGCCGCGUAUAGGAAGAAGGUUUUCGGAUUGUAAACUAUUGUCGUUAGGGAAGAUACAAGACAGUACCUAAGGAGGAAGCUCCGGCUAACUACGUGCCAGCAGCCGCGGUAAUACGUAGGGAGCAAGCGUUAUCCGGAUUUAUUGGGUGUAAAGGGUGCGUAGACGGGAAAGCAAGUUAGUUGUGAAAUCCCUCGGCUUAACUGAGGAACUGCAACUAAAACUACUUUUCUUGAGUGUUGGAGAGGAAAGUGGAAUUCCUAGUGUAGCGGUGAAAUGCGUAGAU